UACGUAGGGUGCAAGCGUUGUCCGGAAUUAUUGGGCGUAAAGAGCUCGUAGGCGGUUUGUCGCGUCUGGUGUGAAAAUCCAGGGCCUAACCCUGGACCUGCAUCGGGUACGGGCAGACUAGAGUGCGGUAGGGGAGACUGGAAUUCCUGGUGUAGCGGUGAAAUGCGCAGAUAUCAGGAGGAACACCGAUGGCGAAGGCAGGUCUCUGGGCUGUAACUGACGCUGAGGAGCGAAAGCAUGGGGAGCGAACAGG
rnacentral:rRNA from 1 species